UCGAACGAUGAAGCCCAGCUUGCUGGGUGGAUUAUUGCCGAACGGGUGAGUAUCACGUGUGUAACCUGCCCUUAACUCUGGGAUAAGCCUGGGACACUGGGUCUAAUACCGGAUAGGAUCGUCUCCCGCAAGGUGGGUGUUGGAAAGAUUUAUCGGUUGUGGANNGACUCGCGGCCUAUGCAAUCUAUGCUUGUGUAGAGUGUAAGUGGACUCACCAAGGUCGACGACGGGUAGCCGGCCUGAGAAGGUGACCAGCCACACUGGGGCNNNUACACGGCCCACACUCCUACGGCAGGCAGCAGUGGGGAAUAUUGCACAAUGGGCGAAAGCCUGAUGCUGCGACGCCGCGUGAGGGAUGACGGCCUUCGGGUUGUAAACCUCUUUCAUCAGGGAAGAAGCGAAAGUGACGGUACCUGCAGAAGAAGCACCGACCUAUACUACCGUAGCACAGACACCCGCGGUAAUACGUAUGCGUGCGAGCGUUAUCCGUGAAUUAUUGGGCGUAAAUUAGCUCGUAAGUCGGUUUGUCUGCGUCUGUACGUCGAAACGUCCUGGGGCAUUAACCCACGGAUCUGCCGUGGGUACAGGCAGACUAACAGUGCAUUAAGCGAGACUGGAAUUCCUGGUGUAACGGUGGAAUGAGCAGAUAUCAGGAGGGAACACCGAUGACGAAUGCAGGUCUCUGGGCUGUAACUGACSCUGAGGAGAGAAAGCAUUGUGRGGCAAACAGGAUUAGAUUACAUUGUAUAGUCCAUCGUAAAAGAACGGCRAGAGACUUGGUGUCGAUUCCCCGGUUCCCGCGCUGCAGAGCGUACAUUACUAACCCAUCCACUGCAGUARCCUGGCAGAGUUAAAACCCAAAGGACCUGACGGGGGGCAGCACAAUGAGCGGAGCACCAUSARRAAUCAGAUGSAACAAGGCGAAAUUAAUCAAGAYUUGACAUCGGAGAGAUACUCGUCGAGAGAUCGGGUCAUGAUUCUGGGAUCUUCACAGMGGGUGCACCGUGGUUGUCMUUAGGUGGCGUGAGAUGAUGGUGUAAGUAGUGCAGCGAGGACAGCCAUCGUUCCAUGUUGCCAGCAGGUGUUGGUCGGGAAUCAUAAGAGAGUGCCCCGGUCAACUCGGAGGAAAGUGAGGGCGGACGUCAAAUCUUCUUGCCCCCUAUGUGUUUGGGUUCACGCAUGCUACAAAGGCCGGUACAAAAGGAGAAGAUACCGUGAGGUGGACAAUACAUGUCCAUAAAUAACCGGUCUCAGUAGUGCGAUGUGGGGUAGUGCAACUAGUCCCCACNAAGUCGGAGUCAUCUAGUAAUAGCAGAUCAGCAACGCUGUGGUGAAUACGUUCUCCGGGCNNUGUACACACCGCCCGUCACGUCACGAAAGUUUGUUACACCCGAAACCCGGUGGCGCUAACCCUUAG
rnacentral:rRNA from 1 species